GUGCCACAGGACUCUUUGUUGCUUUUGGUGUAAGUAGUUCAGUGGCGCUAGGCGUGGGUGUCUCCAAAGAGCCCUCUGUCAAAGUCAAUGGAGAUAGUCCUGAUUUAUGCCAGUCAAAGUUAGAAGAGAAGCUGACCCUGAGAGUUCGUUUUUGACUUCAGUGGGCACGACAGGUUGAAGCCCGUAGAAAAUGACGCACAAAAGAUUCUCGCAGUACUCAAAAUCUGCGACUCUCACAGCUCCUGUCGGCUCUACACAAUGGAGCAUGCUGCCUCCUGCCCAGCAAGGCUGAGGUAAGCUGAAAGGCCUGAUCGACACUGGUAUGUGUAAGCAGUUAAACCCGCUGUGUGGACACGCUUAUUCUGGUAUUUUUGGUUGUGCUUACACCCCUUCCCAGGCAACGUAAGCUAAAAUAGACUCCUGUGCCAGAGUCAGUGUGUUCCCACAAGAGUUAUACUAGUGUAAUUGUAUCAGGUUACAUUCACUCCUUCACUUACGCUGAAAAUUUUUUCCAGAGUAGACAAUUCCUUAUGGCAAAAGUCUUCUCUCCCACCCUGAGCAGAGCUCUGUCUAGGUAUCUCAGACAUGUGAAAUUCCAAGAGUUCCACGCCAGCGGGGAAGGAAGAAUGUCAGAGUCAAGAACCACGAUGGAGUUCUCAUCCUUCUAUCCUAAAUAGAGACACUCCUAGUAUACUUCACAUGCUCAUAAAAAGUACUGAUGUGAGAGAAAACCAACAGAAGAGAACAGUGCUUCCUGUGGUAUCAAAAACAGCUGAGUGCUUUUCUCCAGCUUGGGCAACAGCUUUUAAGCAGUUGUUAAUUUUAGCACUGCGUUAAUAUUCGAAGGGGGUGAGUGCAGGCUGAAAGGUGGGUUUUGAAAGGAAAACUAUUUAAAUGUAGCAGAUUGCUUGCUGUAAAAAUGUUUUGAUAAAUGUUAACUUAUUUUUUUUUGUCUUGCAUUGUUUGUCUUCUUUGGGACCUGCUUGGUCUCAUGUUCCACUACUUUAGCUCAGCUAAUUACACAUAAAGUGCAGAAAAUAGCAUUACUUAGAAGAAAAGGGAAAUUUUUGGUGGGAGAUCGUUUUUCUUUCAUUUCCUUUUCUGUGAGAAAGUUCAGAGGAAAAAAAAUCCUAUUUAAUUAUAACUGGUAGUUAAAUUAUCUCUUACAUACACAUGUCCAAAGUUUUCUUUCACAAGUUGAAAGGCAAUGUUCCACCAAAAACUUUCUAGGAUAAUGACACUGAUUUUGCUAAAUAUAUGAAGCCCUUUUUUUCCCCUCUGAUGUCCAAAUGUACCAUAGACCAAGCUGAGUAUCAGGGAAGACAUGCAAAUACUGCUGUAAUCUUGCUGUUGUGAAGAACAUGCCUGCAUUUAGUUGAGCUUCUUUUUGUAAAUAGUUCAGUAAUUAUUCUAUGUUUAUAAGAGUAUUUUGUAUAGCUGCCAGAGCAUUUCUGUGUAUAUAAAGCUGGGUAUAGAAAUGAUGCCUUCUUUGGGAUAAUGAAAGCAAGAAGAAUUGGCCACUUUUUUUCAGAGGAGAGGCAGUGGCAAAUGUGGCCUGUCAGAAUUUUCAAGGCAGCCUCUUCCCUCAGGAAUUUGAUCUCAUUUGAACUUUAUUUGCUCAUUUCUUAUUUGCUCAUACAUAUCUGAGGGAAGGUGCCUUCUGGGGAGAUCUGUAGAUGUUUAUUUUUAGUUAUCUAAUACUUGUAUGCCAGUCCCUACUGGAUUAAAAUGGCUGUGUCAACUCCCCCACAUCAAGACAGUUUUGUCAAUAUAGCAUCCCUUUUUUUUUUAAGGGACUAGAUCCUGUUAACAUUUUUCAAAUGAAAACUUAGGUCAAAAAAUUGUCUGUUUCAAAAAGAGGUAUUUUUAUGUGUGAAACUGAUUAGAUUUUUUUUAAAUAUUUUUUCUUUGAAAAUGGUAAAUGAAAAAUGUAACCUGUUGGUUUUUGUCUUCAUUUUUCCUCUCUGUUUUCCAUUACUGUUGAGUUCCUCAUGUAUGUGUUGAGAUGGUGAUUUCUUCUUGUUACUCUUUUCAGUCUUUGUCAUCCUGAGUUGUUGAUUUUUAUUUCUUUCUUGCCACUAUUGUUUGAUCAUCUUAGUCGCUUAGUGUGAUUUUUUUUUUGGUUCAAAUUAAAAAAUAAAUCACUUUUGAAAACUACUGAUUAAAAAAAAUGCAGUGGAAAAAUUUUGAAAAAUAAAACAUCAGCUUCCUUCAAAAACUACCGCAAGUAAAUUUUCGGAUAAUUUCUGGGGUGGGUUUUCAAUCAGCUUUUGAAGGAAAGGCAGAUAUACAACCUGAUUGCUUCUGUUGAAGUCAGUGACAAAACCUCCGUUAACUUAUUUGGCUAAAUUCAUCCCUGGUGACUUAGAUGUAUGAAGUUCUACCAGGGAUGAAUGUGACCCAUUGACUUCAGUGCAAACAGGGAUGGGUCCAUAAUUAAAACUCUGCAGAUGGUUAGCAGACUGAAGUCCCAAAUGGCUUCAGUGCUCUGUUUUUCUGGUUUUAGUGACCAUCUGUUUAGAGUUAGUGUUGGAAAGGUUAGGUUUUAAUUAGCAAAUAUUUGCAACUGUCAUAUUUGCCCUUCAGCUGAAAUGGGUGAAAAGAAAUUCCAUCACUAACCAUAAAAAAUGUACAAAGAAGGAAAGUUAAGAACAUAUCAUAUGAUAUGUUGCUCUUGUAGAUAUCUAGCUUCCUCCUCUGUUGCUGUCAGUUCAGUUAACAGACAGCAAUGUGAACUAUUCUGGUUCUAUUUUGGACAGUCAGUCACUACAGUUCAUACAAAUAUUGCCUCGAUUCAAAAUUUUUAAAUUCCUGUUAGUACAAAAAUGUCCACUCAUGAACACUGAAAAAGCUAGUUAGAAAUGCUCAUCAGUAUCAUCUGUCAAAAGUAAUAGACAAUCAAAACCUGAUCCUUCCAAGCCUAUGCACGGGGAAUGCGUUCCAAGCAAACCAAUCUGCUUACUAGCAGAGAGGUCUGGUGUCUCUCUCGCCUUCACUUCACAAUGAAUAUUGAGCCAGGCUUCUAUUUUAAGAGAGUGGCUGCUCUCCCCUUUAGCACAAGAGCAGAUUUGUUUCUGAGUCCUUGAGGUGGAUACACUUUCAGGAUCAUGAGCUUGAUUAUUGGACAUAUGUUCACUGGGAGGUUUCAGUGAAACUUCUAAAUCCUUUUUAGCCAAAAAUGUACUUAGUGUUAAGUGUGUUUUUUUUAAAAUCCAUUUUGUUCUCCAUUGUACAUGUGGGUUUACUGACCACACCUGUGUUAGGGGCCCCAUGACUUCCUCUUUAGAACUCACUGCAUGCUCCUACUCAUUGGAUGCCAGUGGAUGGCCAUUUCUUAGUUGAAGCCAAAUCUCUGUUGUGUUUGAGGCUACUGGAGUGGGGGUGUCAUGUAAGUGCCAUAGUAUUUCCCGCUCCCCACCUCCCAACUUCCAAAUCCACAUCAGGACAUACUUCACUGGCCUGGAGACUGCCGCAGAUUUGGUACAUCAUUCACUUGGAUGAAAUUCAACCCCCCUCCCCCUCUAGCCCCCCACUCAAGUAGAGGCCCCUAGAGACCUGGCACUCCUUGUGUUAGGUUUUUUUAAGAGGUGCAUAGGCCUUUGUGCAGGGUUGCAGUUCACCCUUGCUGUAGAAUUUAUUUUAACACUGCCUUCUGUUCACUAUCAUUUUUCCUUGCUUCCACACACGCUAUUGACAGGGUAGCUGGGUGAUGCGUUACCAGACUUGGGGGACUGUCGGAAGAGCCAGAGCACAUUCUAGUAUUUUAACUGUAUUCAUAGAAUCAUAGAAUCUCAGGGUUGGAAGGGACCUCAGGAGGUCAUCUAGUCCAACCCCCUGCUCAAAGCAGGACCAAACCCAACAAUUACCCAAGUCUUACUGAACUCAUGUAAAGGCAGAAUUGUGUACAAAUAAUGUCUAGUUUUGUGUGCAUUUGAUUAUGGUAGGAUGGCAUAGUUAGGGGAGAUGUGGGUGGUAGGCACUUCAUAGGCAUAAAGGAGGGGCCUCUAUUUUACCAGGAUCGUUGGAAUUUCUAGUGAAAUGUUUAUUGACAUGCUGGUAUGAGAAGCCAUGUUCUGUACAGCAUUUCAUCACUGUAACCAUGAUGCCUGAUGCGAUUUUUAUAGUUUUGCCCCUAUUCACACUACUCCUCUUUCAGCAGCGGGAGGGGUAGAUAAUUUAUGGCUAUUAAUGAUGAAUGGGGUUCAGAGCAUGUUACAGACGCAAAUGUAUCAUACACAAAUUUCCAGGCAUUUGACAUGGAGAAAAGGGACAUGAAAAGGCCUCUAGGUUUUCUGAAUCCUUCCUGUUUAGUCAGUUAACAGCUGAUUUUUAUCAUAUGAAACAUGUCUGAUAACCAAACUAGAAACCAAAUGGUGCAAGAACGUGCUUGUUAUGAAACUCCAAGCCAUGAUUUCCUCAGGGUAUUUGCUCUUGGCUCCUGCUCCAGGAAGUGAGGUUAGUCCAAAAUAUGCAAACUUCUAAUCAAUAUGGCAUCUUUUCUCCACUGAUAACUUACAGCAAGUCUUUGGCAUAGUAACAUCGGUGUUUCCAGAUGAUGGGAUGGCUGAGACACGUGUUUACAUUGUGCCUUUCAGCUUCAAUUGAUUGUAGAAACACAACUUUGGAUUGGUUUAUGUGUUACAAACCUACCGUAAACAGGUGGGGUUUCUUCAGUGAAGUUGCUUUUACUGACUGAGAAGCCAUGGAAGGGUCUACCUAUUUUUUUUUUUAUUGAUCAAAAUGUACAUACAUUUCUGUUGUUUGGUUUGUUCGAUUUUUUUUCUAAUGAUUUUUCAGAAUGUCUUACAGUUGUGAUAAAUGGUUAGACUCCUAGUCCUAGCUCUGCAAAUCUAGUUUUUAUCUCUUGUGUGGCGUUUAUUUUGUUUGUUUCGUUAUGAAUUCUUUUUUAAACCGUGUACUUUUUAGACCAUAGAAUUACGUUUUAAAAAUGUGAAACUUUCACCCAGAGCACAGCAUGGGCAGACGGACACUUUUCAACAGACAACACUGUAAAUAAAUCUCCCCUGGACUGUGCUUUUUUACUUUGGAAAUCAACUUGUACAGUAUUAAACUGUUCUCAUGAAAUUCAGAUCAA